UGGGGAGUGGCGCAGCGGUUAGCGCAGUAGACUGUUAAUCUAUUGGUCGAGAGUUCGAGUCUCUCUUCCCCAGCCA
rnacentral:tRNA from 1 species